CGUGGAGGAUGAAGGCCCUUGGGUUGUAAACUCCUUUUGUGAGGGAAGAAUGCCGCAAGGCUUGACGGUACCUCGCGAAAAAGCCACGGCUAACUACGUGC
rnacentral:rRNA from 1 species